rnacentral:rRNA from 1 species
ACGGAAGGCAGCAGUGAGGAAUAUUGGUCAAUGGACGCAAGUCUGAACCAGCCAUGCCGCGUGCAGGAAUAAGGCCCUAUGGGUCGUAAACUGCUUUUGUGGUGGAGCAAUAAGUCGUACGUGUACGGCGAUGAGAGUACAUCACGAAUAAGCAUCGGCUAACUCCGUGCCAGCAGCCGCGGUAAUACGGAGGAUGCAAGCGUUAUCCGGAUUUAUUGGGUUUAAAGGGUGCGUAGGCUGUGGUCCAAGUCAGGGGUGAAAGCCCGGAGCUCAACUCCGGAACUGCCUUUGAUACUGGAUUGCUGGAAUACGGAUGCCGUGGGAGGAAUGAGUAGUGUAGCGGUGAAAUGCAUAGAUAUUACUCAGAACACCGAUUGCGAAGGCAUCUCACGAAUCCGUCAUUGACGCUGAGGCACGGAAGCGUGGGGAUCAAACAGGAUUAGAUACCCUGGUA